CUCCAUGGCCAUGCCACCCUGAACAAGCCUGAUCUCACCUGAUCUCGGAAGCUAAGCAGGAUUGGGCCUGGUUAGUACUUGGAUGAGAGACCACCUAAGAAGACCAAGUGCUGUAGAUG
rnacentral:rRNA from 1 species